GUGUUUUAGCAGCACAUACACUAAAAUGGGAGCAAUGCAGAGAAUAGCCUGGCCCCUUCCCAAAGUUGGCAUGCAAACUUUGAAGUGUUCAGAGCUGAU
rnacentral:snRNA from 1 species